rnacentral:rRNA from 1 species
GACGAACGCUGGCGGCGUGCUUAACACAUGCAAGUCGAACGGAAAGGCCCUGCUUUUGUGGGGUGCUCGAGUGGCGAACGGGUGAGUAACACGUGAGUAACCUGCCCUUGACUUUGGGAUAACUUCAGGAAACUGGGGCUAAUAACGGAUAGGAGCUCCUGCUGCACGGAGGGGGUUGGAAAGUUUCGGCGGUAGGGGAUGGACUCGCGGCUUAUCAGCUUGUUGGUGGGGUAGUGGCUUACCAAGGCUUUGACGGGUAGCCGGCCUGAGAGGGUGACCGGCCACAUUGGGACUUGGGUACGGCCCAGACUCCUACGGGAGGCAGCAGUGGGGAAUAUUGCACAAUGGGCGGAAGCCUGAUGCAGCAACGCCGCGUGCGGGAUGCCGGCCUUCGGGUUGUAAACCGCUUUCGCCUGUGACGAAGCGUGAGUGACGGUAAUGGGUAAAGAAGCACCGGCUAACUACGUG